UCUCAAAGAUUAACCCAUGCAUGUGUAAGUGUAAAUAUACUAGUUUGGAACUGCGAAUGGCUCAUUAUAUCAGUUAUAGUUUAUUUGGUGAAGUGUACUACUUGGAUAACCGUAGUAAUUCUAGGGCUAAUACAUGAGAAAGUCCUCUGGUGAGGUGUGUUUAUUAGAAUGAAAACCAUAUGCUUCGGCAUGAUAGUGAGUAAUAGUAACCUAUCGUAUCGCAUGCUUAAUGUAGCGAUGAGUCUUUCAAGUUUCUGCCCUAUCAGCUUUCGAUGGUAGUAUAUGGGCCUACCAUGGCAGU
rnacentral:rRNA from 1 species